GUCCCUCAGAAGCCAAAUUCUUCAAUGGCUGCGGUUGCAGCAAUUUUUCUCUCACCCUCUGAGCUCGUAUUAACAAUAUUAUAGAUCUAGAUUCUGCAUCAAUGAUCUUUAUUCUUAUUUUCCGCGUCAUUAGCCGGCCGUGAGACAUUUUUCCCCCUCUCUUUUCUACCUUUGCUGGAUGAAAUUUGUUGUUCUUUUCCUGUGAUUUAUUUGUAAGUUUUCUCGCGUAUGGUUGAUUUCUUGGACGUACCAGUGGAUGAGGAUGAAGCAAAUAUUAAUAAUCCAACACUUGAUCUGAGAUAAUGAAUUCAUUGUCUGCUGAUGCUAUUGUUAGCUUCUGAAUCUAUUUUGGUAUUCCAAUGCCAUUGUUUUAUUUAUUUUUAGUUGAUUUUCUAAGAUGCAUGUGGAUGACAUGUUGAUUUUUCUCGUCUUUGGUACGUGUACAACUCUUGAUCUGUGUUGUCCAUCGGCCAUUGCAUCUGGAUUACAGUCCUUUUUUCCUGUUCGAGUUUUGUGUUGUUACAAUCACCUGUUUUAAAUUCCUGUAUUCCAAAUAUACCAGACGGAUGAAAAAAAUUCUACAGAGGUGUUUUCA